UGAUUGUUACAACUAAGAUUUGAUAUUUAG
rnacentral:piRNA from 1 species